CCUACGGGUGGCAGCAGUGGGGAAUAUUGCACAAUGGGGGAAACCCUGAUGCAGCGACGCCGCGUGAGUGAUGAAGGAAUUCGGAAUGUAAACUCCUAUUAGCAGAGAAGAAAAUGACGGUACCUAAGGAAGAAGCACCGGCUAACUACGUGCCAGCAGCCGCGGUAAUACGGAGGGGGCAAGCGUUAUCCGGAUUUACUGGGUGUACAGGGAGCGUAGGCGGGAGUGCAAGUCCGGUGUGAAAGGCGGGGGCUUAACCAUCGGACUGCAUUUGAAACUGUACUGCUGGAGUGUAGGAGAGGUAGGUGGAAUUCCUGGUGUAGCGGUGAAAUGCGUAGAUAUCAGGAGGAACACCAGUUGCGAAGGCGACCUGCUGGAAUAUAACUGACGCUGAGGCGCGAAAGCGUGGGGAGCAAACAGGAUUAGAUACCCGAGUAGUC
rnacentral:rRNA from 1 species